rnacentral:piRNA from 1 species
UACUGGUCCAUUGUAGCUAACAUGUUACAGA